UAAUCAAAUCCCCUAAUUUGAUCAAAAUUCACCUCAAUCAAACCCUAAUUUCCAAUUCCGAUCGUCAUCUUCUCAUUUCUUCAGAAAACGUCUCUCUUCAUUCUGCGGAGCUUGACCCACAUCGUAACCACGUCUCUUUCUCGAAGCUCAAUCAUCCUCUUCAACGCCGCGACGUCGUGUUCUUUGGUUCCUGUAACGGCAUACUCUGUUUCUCAUCAAAAAUCGACAUUUUAUUGUUCAAUCCUCUCAUCAAAUCAUGUCGUAGGUUGCCCUCUAAUUACAUUCCAGAACCUUCUAUGGGUUCGGUCUGGUCCGGGUUCGGGUAUGACAGCAAAAACGACGAUUACAAGGUUUUGAGGAUGAUUCAAAAGUAUAUAAAUGACAAAGUUUACUACAAUGAAGCCAAAGUAUACAGUCUCAACAAAUAAUUCAUGGAAAAGUAUUCAAGGUAUUCCAUAUUAUAUCUUUUGUGAAGAUUAUCAUGGUGUUCUUGUUAAUGAGGCUUUACAUUAUACUGUGAUUACUAAUGAAUCGGAUUUGGUAUGUAAUUUCAUUGCGAGUUUUGAUCUUAACACUGAGAAAUUCUCACUUAUUGAAUGCCCCAAUUAUAAUGAAAAUUCUAGGAGUGAUUUGGUGCCACUUUUGUUGGAAAUGGGUGGGUGUUUAUGUUUGGUGGCUAAUCAUCACACAAGUGCUCUUUAUCACCCUCCUCCUAAUAACUGUGUGCUGACUAAUCCUCUAGUCGAAAGUGUCGAUAUUUGGAUGAUGAAGGAAUAAGGAAUGAAAGAGUCUUGGGUUAUGUUGUUUAGAAUUUGCCAGCUGCAGAGUUUAGGGAUUUAUUAUGUACAGAUUAAGCCGGUUUUUUACUCGAAAGACGGGAGGAAAAUUUUGAUAGAGAUAGACUGUAAGGGACUUGGUUGGUAUGAUUUGAAGUCCAAAAGUGUUGAGCGACUCAGAGCUCAUGGUAUUCCGAAUGGAUUUAUGGAGAUGACGUAUUUCGUGGGCAGCCUUGUUUCCCUUGAAGAGAAGCAGCAUCAAGAGAAGAAAGCCUUGCCAAAGAAGAACAAAAAGAAGAAUGAUUUGGAUGAUUAUCUUUCUGCAGGGUUCAAGCUGAGGUUGUGACCUAGAAGAUGCUACUGCUUGGGCUUUAUUUGGAACUGUGUUAUUGUUGGGAUUUUGCUCGUCAAAGGUUGAACUAUUGGUUGUUUUUUUUUUGCCAUGAUCAUGGCCUUUGGAGGAGAAGUGACUAGUUGAUUUCGCAUGAAGGCCAUUGCAAGUAGUUUUAAGUGUGGCUUUUUUGUAGUAUAUAUAUAAAUACCUUGUUAAAGUGGUGGAUGUUUUUUGGAGCUACUGGUUUUUGAUCCUAAUCUAAGAUGAUAGUGCAAAUGUGCAAUGCAAACUGCAGGUGUCCCAGUAUAGAUUACCGUAGCUUUAUGCUGUAAUCUGAUUUACUAGUUCUCUUGAGCUUCUCUGAAGUCUACUGCGAUGUAAGAAUGUUUCUAGUCUAGCAGUGAAGUUUGAGUAUAAUUGAACAAGCUGUUCGUUGCUGAAGUACUUGAUAUUACUGCUCAUUACUUCGUACACAUUUCUAUGAUUUUAAUUUGCAACCUCUAAUUCAGAUGCAUUCA